GAGUUUAUAAUUAGUAAAAAAAUACUGAUACCAGAUAUUCAAAUAUAACAUUAUCGUAAUAAAAAAAAUUCCAGAAAAUAACAAAUAAAACGUCAUUUAUACACGUUGGUAGAUUUCUUGAAGGGCCUAAGUUAGGCCUGGCUUAUCAGUCUUACGUAUUAUCAAAAUCAAUUAAUUAUAUAAACCAUGGCUCUUCUUCACCUUCUUGUAGCUGUUAGGUUGGUCUCUGACUCUCUCUGUUGUCCUUCAUAAAAAAGUUGGCUCUGCUCUGUUUCUCUCUCCUUUUUUGAUGCGUUUAUCCUUUGACUGAAAAAACGAGGGCAAGUAGGCAAAUAUUUUCGUAAAACGCCUAAUCUUUUGCAAGUUACUACGAUUUUGCCAAUACAUAACAUGCAAUGACAAAGCUACCUUUGCUCUCAGAAUAUGCAAAGCCAUCACUAGUUUAAGAAUAUGCAAGGCCACAUGGACAAUAAUGAUGUUCUUAAGAAUGGCUUUGCUCUCAGAGAGAUGGCCCAGUAUGGCGGUUGCUCCUCUCUCUCAACGACUGCGGAGCCGAUGAUUUUACCGUCGGAUUAUAAAACAAUCGCGUAUGUGUACGUAUAUAUAUAUUGUCAAUUAGUACUCCCUCUGUUCCAUGAAUACUAUAUUACCGGCGUAACUUGAUCGGAGAUCUGAUACGUUCAAUCUCUGCCAAGGUUCUGUUGCUGCUUACAAAGAAGCUAUGACGAUUCUUAUUUUCUAGAGUGCAAGAUCCAAACGUUAAAGGAACAAUUUUGAUUGUUUGGCGGCGCAAUGUGAAUAUUUUCUAUCUCUUGCAGAUAGAUCCAUCAUUGCAGCCACAUUCGCUUUGUUCCUUUUGUUGUUUGAUUAAAAUCGUAUCUCAGCCUCACUUCAUCUCUUUCUUUCUCUUUCUUUCUCUGUUUUUUGUGCAGUGGAAAUUUUAGCUCAUUAGUUUGAGAAUGAGGUUCUUAUUUGCCAACAGCUCGUGAGAUUGAAGGUUUUAGGGCGGUUGACCUCGUCUCUCUGAUAAAAGGUGGAGCCUGUGAUUUAUCUUCUUAUUUGCCAACAGCUCCUUCUCCCUGUACAUACAGAGAGGCCAAAUGCAUAAAUCUACCCUCAACUUGCACUUCUACCCUUUGUUUGGAUGGAAUGAUUGGAAGUUUUAGUAAACUUAAUGAGGCUAUGAUGAUAUUAUCAG